ACCUGAUAGAGAAUUUUUUGUGAUUCUAAAUUUGGACUUCAAAUGAUCUUGUUUUGAUGAUGAGGCUUGUGUGUACUGGGAGCUUUUUUCAAUUGUUUGCGACAGCAAGCUUGGAUGCUUGAUUCAUAAAAAGUGUGUUAUCGUAAAUUUUUAAGUUGUUGAUUCAUGAUGGAAUCAUGAGUUUAUCUGGUCGUUUUUUUCCGUCUUUAUUUUACCGUUCAGUUAGUUGUUCAUCCCGGCGUUGCUACCGCAUUAGUCAUCCAUUCCUGGUAGCUGAAUUACUUCACACUGAAGCGGGCGACUCGGUUGUUAAGAGCUUCUGUGAUGCAUUCAGAAAAGGCUGGUGUUGGGACACUGUGAGCAAAAGAUUUGAUUCAGUUGAGUUGAGUAGUUCCAUUGUUGAGAAAGUAUUGCUGCACUUCAAGGAACCAACUGAUGCAAAACGGGCUCUAGGUUUCUUUCACUGGUCAAAAAGUAAAAAAUUUGAACACAGGGUUCAAUCUUAUAGCAUUGCAAUUCACAUUUUGGUUCGAGCACAGAUGCUCACAGAUGCCCGAGCUUUGCUUGUAUCAGUUCUGAAGAAAACUGAAAAAGAUACGUCCAGAUUUUGUCUUGUGGAUUCACUUCUUUCCACCUAUAAGAUUGCUUCUUCAAGGCCCCUUGUCUUCGAUUUGUUGGUACAGACUUAUUCGAAAUUGAGGAUGCUUAAGGUGGCUUUUGAUGUUUGUUGCUACUUGGAAAAACAUGGGAUUUCUUUGAGUUUGAUCAGUUUCAACACCUUGAUUCAUGUUGUUGAAAAAUCUGAGAAGAAUGUUCUGGUUUGGAAGAUUUAUGAGCACAUGAUACAAAGGAGGAUUUACCCAAAUGAAGCCACCAUCAAUACUCUGAUUAGCGCAUUUUGCAAGGAAGGAAAUUUGCAGAGAUAUGUUGAUAUUUUGGAUAGGAUUCAUGGGAAGAGGUGCUCCCCUGUGGUGAUUGUGAAUACUAGUUUGAUUUUUAGAAUCCUUGAAGAAGGAAGAAUUGAAGAAGGGAUGGUGCUAUUGAAGAGGAUGUUGCAGAGGAACAUGAUUCUUGAUACCAUUUCCUACUCUUUGAUUGUUUAUGCUAAAGUUAAACUUGGAAAUUUAAAUUCUGCAUGGGAGGUUUAUGAGGAAAUGGUCAAGAGAGGUUUCCGUGCUAAUCCCUUCAUAUACACUUUGUUUAUAGGUGCCUACUGUUCUGAAGGAAGAAUUGAAGAAGCAAAUUACUUGAUGCAGGAAAUGGGAAACAUGGGUCUGAAGCCAUAUGAUGAGACUUUUAAUCAUCUCAUUUUGGGAUGUUCUAAAGCAGGAAGAUUAGAAGAAAGCUUGAGAUUCUGUGAGAAAAUGAUGGAGAUAGGACUUGUUCCUACUUGUUCAGCUUUUAACGAGAUGGUAAGAAAGCUUUGUGAAUGUGGUCGUGUGGGGCAAGCUAAUGUGAUGCUAACCCUUCUAUUAGAUGAUGGGUUUUCACCUGAUGAGCACACAUACUGCCAUCUUAUUGAUGGAUAUGGGAAAGAAGGUGAUGUUCAGGAGGUUCUCAAGCUCUUUUAUGAAAUGGAGUACAGGUUGAUUUCCCCUGGUUUGUUGGGUUUUACCUCAUUGAUAAGGAGCUUAUGUGAAUGUGGAAAACUGGUUGAAGCUGAAAAGUAUUUAAAGAUAAUGAAAGAUCGAGCAUUAGUCCCAACUAUAUGCAUUUACAAAUCAUUGAUUGCUUCCUACAACUGGAAGGGUGAUAAAAUGAAGGGAAACUGGAAGCUUUCUACUCUUUGGAGGAUGGACGAACUAUUCAACUAGGACACACUGCUGCAGCUCUCAUUUGCCCAAGGGAAAGGAGAUUCUGACUCUUCAAACGGAAUCUCAUGCACGUAGAUUAGAUGUCUUGCUGAGGG